GAGAUGGCUUUGCUUUUAAAGCAAUGGCUGAUACUACCUCUAGGGAUAUUCCUUGCACACGCUCGGCCGAAAGUACCCGACUACAAAGAUGAUGUACCCGAACUGUACGAGGGGGACAUGGCAUUAACUAAACAACAGGUCCACAUUCUUAAGCUGUCACGACCAACCUUCAACAAGGCAGCAGACUGGAACCAAGAAGCUCAAACAAGAGGCGCCAUAAGGAAUAUACGUCAACUCUGGCCAAACGGAAUUAUACCGUUUGAAAUAAAUCCACAAAUCGACGACAGAGGAAGGCAACUGAUCAGAAACUCGAUGAAAGAUUGGGAAGAUCAUGUUCCCUGUCUCCAAUUUAAAAAGAGAGGGCAAGAGAGUGGAUACAUCGAGUUUGUUUACA